UACGUAGGGUGCAAGCGUUGUCCGGAAUUACUGGGCGUAAAGGGCUCGUAGGCGGCCAACUAAGUCGGACGUGAAAUCCCCAGGCUCAACCUGGGAACUGCGUCUGAUACUGGAUGGCUUGAAUCCGGGAGAGGGAUGCAGAAUUCCAGGUGUAGCGGUGAAAUGCGUAGAUAUCUGGAGGAAUACCGGUGGCGAAGGCGGCAUCCUGGACCGGCAUUGACGCUGAGGAGCGAAAGCCAGGGGAGCAAACGGG
rnacentral:rRNA from 1 species